CGGCGCACGGGUGCGUAACGCGUAUGCAACCUACCUUGAUCAGGGGGAUAGCCCGGAGAAAUCCGGAUUAACACCGCAUAACAUUGUGAUAUGGCAUCAUAUUAUAAUCAAAUAUUUAUAGGAUCGAGAUGGGCAUGCGUGACAUUAGUUAGUUGGUGAGGUAAUGGCUCACCAAGACUGUGAUGUCUAGGGGAUCUGAGAGGAUGACCCCCCACACUGGUACUGAGACACGGACCAGACUCCUACGGGAGGCAGCAGUAAGGAAUAUUGGUCAAUGGGCGCAAGCCUGAACCAGCCAUGCCGCGUGCAGGAAGACGGCCCUACGGGUUGUAAACUGCUUUUGUACCGGAAUAAACCUGCUCUCGUGAGAGCAGCUGAACGUACGGUAAGAAUAAGGAUCGGCUAACUCCGUGCCAGCAGCCGCGGUAAUACGGAGGAUCCAAGCGUUAUCCGGAUUUAUUGGGUUUAAAGGGUGCGUAGGCGGCUUUUUAAGUCAGGGGUGAAAACUUGCGGCUCAACCGUAAGCUUGCCUUUGAUACUGAGGAGCUUGAAUACACUUGAGGUAGGCGGAAUGUGACAAGUAGCGGUGAAAUGCAUAGAUAUGUCACAGAACACCAAUUGCGAAGGCAGCUUACUAAAGUGAGAUUGACGCUGAGGCACGAAAGCGUGGGGAUCAAACAGGAUUAGAUACCCUGGUAGU
rnacentral:rRNA from 1 species